GCAGCCCAGGGGGAGCAAGAAUCAGACUUUCCUUUGGACCAGAUGCUGGAUAAGUGCUCACCUGUCACAUAACAGGUAGCAUGUACUACACCGGAUAGCAUUAGCAGAGAAGAAUGAUGGCCUUCUGACACCUCUGGUAUUAAUAGAUAUGGUUCAAGUUCUCAGACUGCCAGGGUCUACGUUUAUCAGUGGCAAGUGUUUCCUGAGGAGCUGGGGGCCUCAAAACAGCAUUGGGACUUCUGUGGAUUUCAUGGUAUUGUUUGUAUUAUGCAUUUUAUAUCCAGCUUAUGUUUUGAGCUUAUUUUGUUCACUGAUGUAAGCAGGUGUAUAUAGCACU